GACGACGCUGGCGGCGUGCCUAAUACAUGCAAGUCGAACGAGUGGCGGACGGGUGAGUAAAACGUGGGAACCUACCCAUCAGAGGGGGAUAACUUCUGGAAACGGUCGCUAAUACCGCAUACCAUCGGAUGUGCCCAGAUGGGAUUAGCUAGUAGGGGGGGUAAAGGCUCACCAAGCCGACGAUCCCUAGCUGGUCUGAGAGGAGGACCAGCCACACGGGAACUGAGACACGGUCCAGACUCCUACGGGAGGCAGCAGUGGGGAAUAUUGCACAAUGGGCGCAAGCCUGAGGCAGCCAUGCCGCGUGGAUGAAGAAGGCCUUCGGGUUGUAAAGUACUUUCAGCUGGGAGGCGUUACCCGCAGAAGAAGCACCGGCUAACUCCGUGCCAGCAGCCGCGGUAAUUC
rnacentral:rRNA from 1 species